UUUUGUUCUCUUUUGUCUUCUUCUUCUUCGAUCGUCAUCCUCUUCCGCGCAAGUUUCCCUAAAAGUGGAUAAAUCGGAUGAGCGCGAUGACGACGAGUUUAAGGAAGAAAAAGAACGAGACGCACCAAAACGAAAGCCUUUUA
rnacentral:ribozyme from 14 species